rnacentral:lncRNA from 1 species
CGCCCUUGUUGCUGUUGGUGGUGGUGGUUGCGGGCUGGUGUGGCGCGGCCGUAGUGACAGCCGCAGCGCCGCCCACGGCACCCGCUGUCACUGUUUCCACCGCCACCGCCGGCUGCUGCAGCCGGCGCAGCAGGUAGGCCUCCUGCUCGGAAGGAGUCAGGAAGUCCCAUUCCCAGUACGGCACUAGUAGGACGCCGCCCUCCUUAAACGCCCGCCGCAGCUGCCGAAUGCGAAUGGCCGUACCCCCUUCCACAGCAGCGCUGGGGUCUUGCUGCUGCGUUUGUGUCAAGAGGUAACGUUUCGGUCCGAGGAACUCCACCGCCGCCUGCUGCCCGUCACUCAGCCGCACCACCGCAUCCACUGGCGCCAACACUCCUGGCGCGACAACGCCCGUCUGAAGGGACUGAACGGCUAGGCCCCCUGCUGCCUUGAGGCCCUGCUGCUCAAGCCGCCGCAGCGCUGCAACGACCUGCUUUUGAGUAUCUGAUGUGGGCUUGGCGUCUUCCCUCUCAGUAGUCACCGCCGCUGCCAUCGCCGCCUGCAGUCCGCUGCCGCUGCCCAGGGCCGCCGCCACCUCGCCGCCUAGCUCCUGCUGCGCCUGCCACAGCUGUUUGAGAUGCUCAGUUGUAAGACCCUCCCAACGGCUUACUGCUUCACGGGCCAGCUGAAUGGAUAGCUGCUUCAUGUCGGGAGAAUACGUGCCUCCGAACACAGCCAUGGCCCACAGGCUGUUGCAUACGUGCUGGUGCAGGACUGUGUCAGAGUCAUGCUGCAGCAGCUCGCCCAGCCGACCGCACACCGCCGCCUCCAAGCCAGCGUGCCGCAGCUGCAGCACCGCCAGCGCGUACAGCGUAUUGGCACAGUUCUGACCACCGGCACUACUGGCGCGCAUGGCUGCUACUGCUGCGCCCGAGUCAAGCAGCUCCGCCGGCGGCUGGUGGCGCAUCAACGCAAGCGCGUACAGCAGAUUGGACCAGGCCUGAGAUGUUGCGCGGGCCAUGGCGCCCGACUGCGUUGCUGCGUCCACCGCUGCUGAAACCCACUGCCGCUGCUCGGCCGGCGCCUCCGGGCCCGCCCCAAAUCCCAUCUUGGCUAGGGCCCACGCUGAGUUGCUGAGGUCCUGAGCGAUGUACCCGUCAAACCCCCGCCGCAUGUCCUCUUCGGCCACUGCCACCACCAGCUCUGCCUGCUCGCUGCAUAGCUGCAGCCCCUCCAGCGCCAGCAGGAUGUUGGAUAGCUGUUGCGGGAUAAAUGCUGCAGCGAGCUCCGGUUUCCGGAGCUGCUGCAGUGCCUCCCCGCACAGCGCCUCAACUGCUGACCGGUACUCUGGUCCUGUGCACCCCAGAGCUUUGAGAGCCCAUAGGCUGUUUGAAACAUCUUGCGGCUUGAAGCCGUGGCCCGCCACCGUUCUCAAGCGAGAAGCCACAGCUGCCGCCAAGGUCUGCAAGUGCGGAGAUGAGGUGGGGUCCCAGCCUGAGCCCCGCUGCUGCUGGUCUUGCUUGAGCUUGCCGAGCGCGUACAUGACAAUUGCGAGGUUCUGAGGUUCCGCCUUCCCAAGAACCUCAGGAUCCACUAGCCGCUCCAGCAGAGCUGCUGCAAGCUGAGCCUCCGUGCCGCCGCCGACCAAUCCAGCUUUGCCCAGCGCCCACAGCGGAAUGCUGCAGUUCUUUGCGUUGCGGAUGCGCGGCACGAGCGGCAGGUAGGCCGGCGCAAGCAUGCCGAUAAUGCUGCUGCGUGCUACAGCCGUUUGGCUUGCUCCAGCGCGCGACUCCAGCUGCGUUCAAAGCAGUUAUGAGGGACAUACAUGGGGUCAAGUGCUAUAUGCAUGUGUUUGUGCGUGUGCGUGAACAGGUGCGCAUGCAAGUCCUGUGUGGCCAUCUGCGUCGUGAGAACCGGAAGUCCGGGCCGAGAACGACAACAAUGGACUCGCCCUCCAUUCUGCACUUCAUUUCUGUGCCCAUUCCCACCUGCACGUAUUAGUCCUCCCUCUCACCUUGCCGCACAGGUUGAACGCCGCACACAUGGUAAUGAAGUCUUUUCGGCCCUCCCACACUGAUAGCCGCUGGCUGAUGAUUGCUUGCAGCUCCUCCAGAGUCCGACACACGGUCAUGUCAUCCGCGGGGUCACGCCCGCUGCCCCUGCUUCUGCCGCUGGCGCGGCUGCCAUCGCCUGCCCUGCCUCCGCCGCUUCCCCUACCCGCCGCCGCCUGCACUAUUGGCCGCCCGAGGCGGGAGCUACUGCUGCCGCAGAGCACUACCGCCGUCGAGACGCGCAGUGGGGAUGAGCUGCUACUGUUGAGUGCUGGGACAGAAGUAGCGGCGGCAGCGCGCGGUGAGCUGGGGCCGGUGUCGGCAGCGGUCCGAUGCAUGCCAUAAACGAACAGUCUUCUAAACGCGCACGCCGGUGGCGGUGCCUGGAGACGGGCUGAUAACGAUUGGCUACAGCCAUGUACGCUGUGCCUGUGCGCACCAGCGGGAGAGCCCGCGACGACGCGCAGGGCGAGCAUCUCGGGCCUCCUCACGGCGGCGACCUGAGCUAUAGCGACUCUAUCCGUCUACGUGUCUGAGCACUGCAAAUGCAUUAGGCUUGCAUUUGUGGGAGAAUAACGCAAGGAACGAAAGGUCAGGUGCGUGUAGGUCGCUGGGCCAAAGCCGCCUGAGUAGCUGUGGCUUGGUAUGGAUGAUAAAGCAACUGAAUCAAUUUGCCACCGGUGUUGAGGCGAGGGCGACCUGACCGCGAAAUACACGGCCCGAGGGCACGCCCCGUAUCAACACCCCUCGCGACCUCCAAACACGUGCACUGAACCGCGAAGCCCUCCCCCAAGCCUAUCGCGGCUGCUAUUCCCAUGUCCUCCUCCCCAACCAUUCUGCAUACAGGCUCUGGCGUGAGUCCCUGCCCGCGUCAUUUGACACCCGUCGACCACGACUGAGGUGCAACGCAUGUCGCUUACAAAUCCAACAUCCCGCCCGACACGAGAGGGGCAGAAACGGCGGGGCAGACGGCCAGCCUCUUGAACAUGAGCAUAGCAGUGCAAUAUCGCACAUUGGGUCCCCGCCUGCUUCACCUGGCCACCUUUGCUGAUUUGUCUGACAUCCCUGUCUACACACUUUUAUCCGCCCACGCUUGAGACGUCCUCCUCAGCGCGCAGGCUUCACGGUACCAACCGUGCGGUAUCAUCGCUACAUGAUGAGUGCACUGCCCCAACCAUUGAAGCAUCACAAGGUGCUUGCCUGCCGCCGCCGCCGCUGAUACGUACACGAUUGCUGCCACACAACCAACACAUCACACCCAACAAUCACAACAACAAAACAACUGAGACCCGCCGCCGUGCAACGCACACUGUACACGCCCCAGGGCCGAGAACACAACGCAACACAAGCACCUGACAUGCCUCAUCCAGGCAUGCGUCACUCAAUCGCCCACCGAGCCGACCUCGCACACGCCGUUCGUGAGCCCCUGCGGCUGACAUGCCCGGCCCUGCCCCCUUGGCACCGCAGCCCUGCCGCCUUGGCACCGCCGCCCAUUGCCCCACCCCCAUGCUGCGUGCCAUGUAAGAAUAAAGCCAGGUCCCCAUCAAGCCGCAGCAUAUAUCCCCGCCAAGCCACCAGACUCCUCUUGCCGCACGCUACCAACCACCACCAGCACAGGACCGGCACCUGCCUGUCCCCCUGUUUAGUUUGGGCUGAUAUUUACAACCCCCCACCCUCCCCUCCCCACCUUCCCCAUUGCCAACCUCGCCCACCGCGCCGACAUGCACGCCGGCACCUCGCUCGUGCCUCUCGAGGCCUCCCAUCUUCCGUAGCUAGAGAUCCCUGUCCACGAGUAUCCACUUGGGCUCCAGCCCACUCCUGAUGCACACGCCGGCAUUACCCAGGUCUGCAUGGUUUGCAUGCCUGCCUGUCUACCGUGCACGCACACCUGCCUAGCUACGCAGACCUACUACCGUCCUUUUUGACCCGCCUCCGCCGCCACCGCCGCCGUCUCCUCCCUCUGGCCGCCGUGCCGGCCGCGCCAGCAGCUGCUGUUGUGGGUUGCCGCCAGAGCCGCCGCCGCCCUUGUUGCUGUUGGUGGUGGUGGUUGCGGGCUGGUGUGGCGCGGCCGUAGUGACAGCCGCAGCGCCGCCCACGGCACCCGCUGUCACUGUUUCCACCGCCACCGCCGGCUGCUGCAGCCGGCGCAGCAGGUAGGCCUCCUGCUCGGAAGGAGUCAGGAAGUCCCAUUCCCAGUACGGCACUAGUAGGACGCCGCCCUCCUUAAACGCCCGCCGCAGCUGCCGAAUGCGAAUGGCCGUACCCCCUUCCACAGCAGCGCUGGGGUCUUGCUGCUGCGUUUGUGUCAAGAGGUAACGUUUCGGUCCGAGGAACUCCACCGCCGCCUGCUGCCCGUCACUCAGCCGCACCACCGCAUCCACUGGCGCCAACACUCCUGGCGCGACAACGCCCGUCUGAAGGGACUGAACGGCUAGGCCCCCUGCUGCCUUGAGGCCCUGCUGCUCAAGCCGCCGCAGCGCUGCAACGACCUGCUUUUGAGUAUCUGAUGUGGGCUUGGCGUCUUCCCUCUCAGUAGUCACCGCCGCUGCCAUCGCCGCCUGCAGUCCGCUGCCGCUGCCCAGGGCCGCCGCCACCUCGCCGCCUAGCUCCUGCUGCGCCUGCCACAGCUGUUUGAGAUGCUCAGUUGUAAGACCCUCCCAACGGCUUACUGCUUCACGGGCCAGCUGAAUGGAUAGCUGCUUCAUGUCGGGAGAAUACGUGCCUCCGAACACAGCCAUGGCCCACAGGCUGUUGCAUACGUGCUGGUGCAGGACUGUGUCAGAGUCAUGCUGCAGCAGCUCGCCCAGCCGACCGCACACCGCCGCCUCCAAGCCAGCGUGCCGCAGCUGCAGCACCGCCAGCGCGUACAGCGUAUUGGCACAGUUCUGACCACCGGCACUACUGGCGCGCAUGGCUGCUACUGCUGCGCCCGAGUCAAGCAGCUCCGCCGGCGGCUGGUGGCGCAUCAACGCAAGCGCGUACAGCAGAUUGGACCAGGCCUGAGAUGUUGCGCGGGCCAUGGCGCCCGACUGCGUUGCUGCGUCCACCGCUGCUGAAACCCACUGCCGCUGCUCGGCCGGCGCCUCCGGGCCCGCCCCAAAUCCCAUCUUGGCUAGGGCCCACGCUGAGUUGCUGAGGUCCUGAGCGAUGUACCCGUCAAACCCCCGCCGCACGUCCUCUGCGGCCACUGCCACCACCAGCUCUGCCUGCUCGCUGCAUAGCUGCAGCCCCUCCAGCGCCAGCAGGAUGUUGGAUAGCUGUUGCGGGAUAAAUGCUGCAGCGAGCUCCGGUUUCCGGAGCCGCUGCAGUGCCUCCCCGCACAGCGCCUCAACUGCUGACCGGUACUCUGGUCCUGUGCACCCCAGAGCUUUGAGAGCCCAUAGGCUGUUUGAAACAUCUUGCGGCUUGAAGCCGUGGCCCGCCACCGUUCUCAAGCGAGAAGCCACAGCUGCCGCCAAGGUCUGCAAGUGUGGCGAUGAGGUGGGGUCCCAGCCUGAGCCCCGCUGCUGCUGGUCUUGCUUGAGCUUGCCGAGCGCGUACAUGACAAUUGCGAGGUUCUGAGGUUCCGCCUUCCCAAGAACCUCAGGAUCCACUAGCCGCUCCAGCAGAGCUGCUGCAAGCUGAGCCUCCGUGCCGCCGCCGACCAAUCCAGCUUUGCCCAGCGCCCACAGCGGAAUGCUGCAGUUCUUUGCGUUGCGGAUGCGCGGCACGAGCGGCAGGUAGGCCGGCGCAAGCAUGCCGAUAAUGCUGCUGCGUGCUACAGCCGUUUGGCUUGCUCCAGCGCGCGACUCCAGCUGCGUUCAAAGCAGUUAUGAGGGACAUACAUGGGGUCAAGUGCUAUAUGCAUGUGUUUGUGCGUGUGCGUGAACAGGUGCGCAUGCAAGUCCUGUGUGGCCAUCUGCGUCGUGAGAACCGGAAGUCCGGGCCGAGAACGACAACAAUGGACUCGCCCUCCAUUCUGCACUUCAUUUCUGUGCCCAUUCCCACCUGCACGUAUUAGUCCUCCCUCUCACCUUGCCGCACAGGUUGAACGCCGCACACAUGGUAAUGAAGUCUUUUCGGCCCUCCCACACUGAUAGCCGCUGGCUGAUGAUUGCUUGCAGCUCCUCCAGAGUCCGACACACGGUCAUGUCAUCCGCGGGGUCACGCCCGCUGCCCCUGCUUCUGCCGCUGGCGCGGCUGCCAUCGCCUGCCCUGCCUCCGCCGCUUCCCCUACCCNNNNNNNNNNNNNNNNNNNNNNNNNNNNNNNNNNNNNNNNNNNNNNNNNNNNNNNNNNNNNNNNNNNNNNNNNNNNNNNNNNNNNNNNNNNNNNNNNNNNGAGAAUAACGCAAGGAACGAAAGGUCAGGUGCGUGUAGGUCGCUGGGCCAAAGCCGCCUGAGUAGCUGUGGCUUGGUAUGGAUGAUAAAGCAACUGAAUCAAUUUGCCACCGGUGUUGAGGCGAGGGCGACCUGACCGCGAAAUACACGGCCCGAGGGCACGCCCCGUAUCAACACCCCUCGCGACCUCCAAACACGUGCACUGAACCGCGAAGCCCUCCCCCAAGCCUAUCGCGGCUGCUAUUCCCAUGUCCUCCUCCCCAACCAUUCUGCAUACAGGCUCUGGCGUGAGUCCCUGCCCGCGUCAUUUGACACCCGUCGACCACGACUGAGGUGCAACGCAUGUCGCUUACAAAUCCAACAUCCCGCCCGACACGAGAGGGGCAGAAACGGCGGGGCAGACGGCCAGCCUCUUGAACAUGAGCAUAGCAGUGCAAUAUCGCACAUUGGGUCCCCGCCUGCUUCACCUGGCCACCUUUGCUGAUUUGUCUGACAUCCCUGUCUACACACUUUUAUCCGCCCACGCUUGAGACGUCCUCCUCAGCGCGCAGGCUUCACGGUACCAACCGUGCGGUAUCAUCGCUACAUGAUGAGUGCACUGCCCCAACCAUUGAAGCAUCACAAGGUGCUUGCCUGCCGCCGCCGCCGCUGAUACGUACACGAUUGCUGCCACACAACCAACACAUCACACCCAACAAUCACAACAACAAAACAACUGAGACCCGCCGCCGUGCAACGCACACUGUACACGCCCCAGGGCCGAGAACACAACGCAACACAAGCACCUGACAUGCCUCAUCCAGGCAUGCGUCACUCAAUCGCCCACCGAGCCGACCUCGCACACGCCGUUCGUGAGCCCCUGCGGCUGACAUGCCCGGCCCUGCCCCCUUGGCACCGCAGCCCUGCCGCCUUGGCACCGCCGCCCAUUGCCCCACCCCCAUGCUGCGUGCCAUGUAAGAAUAAAGCCAGGUCCCCAUCAAGCCGCAGCAUAUAUCCCCGCCAAGCCACCAGACUCCUCUUGCCGCACGCUACCAACCACCACCAGCACAGGACCGGCACCUGCCUGUCCCCCUGUUUAGUUUGGGCUGAUAUUUACAACCCCCCACCCUCCCCUCCCCACCUUCCCCAUUGCCAACCUCGCCCACCGCGCCGACAUGCACGCCGGCACCUCGCUCGUGCCUCUCGAGGCCUCCCAUCUUCCGUAGCUAGAGAUCCCUGUCCACGAGUAUCCACUUGGGCUCCAGCCCACUCCUGAUGCACACGCCGGCAUUACCCAGGUCUGCAUGGUUUGCAUGCCUGCCUGUCUACCGUGCACGCACACCUGCCUAGCUACGCAGACCUACUACCGUCCUUUUUGACCCGCCUCCGCCGCCACCGCCGCCGUCUCCUCCCUCUGGCCGCCGUGCCGGCCGCGCCAGCAGCUGCUGUUGUGGGUUGCCGCCAGAGCCGCCGCCGCCCUUGUUGCUGUUGGUGGUGGUGGUUGCGGGCUGGUGUGGCGCGGCCGUAGUGACAGCCGCAGCGCCGCCCACGGCACCCGCUGUCACUGUUUCCACCGCCACCGCCGGCUGCUGCAGCCGGCGCAGCAGGUAGGCCUCCUGCUCGGAAGGAGUCAGGAAGUCCCAUUCCCAGUACGGCACUAGUAGGACGCCGCCCUCCUUAAACGCCCGCCGCAGCUGCCGAAUGCGAAUGGCCGUACCCCCUUCCACAGCAGCGCUGGGGUCUUGCUGCUGCGUUUGUGUCAAGAGGUAACGUUUCGGUCCGAGGAACUCCACCGCCGCCUGCUGCCCGUCACUCAGCCGCACCACCGCAUCCACUGGCGCCAACACUCCUGGCGCGACAACGCCC